rnacentral:tRNA from 1 species
GGAGAGGUGGCAGAGUUGGUUGAAUGUGGCGGUCUCGAAAACCGUUGUGCCUUUGGGUACCGAGGGUUCAAAUCCCUCCCUCUCCGCCA